rnacentral:lncRNA from 1 species
CGGUAUCCAGGCGUCCUCUCCCUCUGCCGUCGCCUCCGAGGUGAGAGAAACCACAAAGGGUCCCACCGACGGUGGAAGAGCGGAUCAAAUCGAGCUGAUGCGCUGCUGUUAUGGUUGCGCUUGCAGAGAGGUACCGGAGUGGCGAGCUGAAGAGGGCUCUUUCUGAGGCUGAAGACUACGCCUUAAGGUAUAAAAUCCUUGUCGAUUCGGUUCAGUAGUUUCUCAACUCGGAUGACUGAAUUUGUUCCAGUUUUGUCGAUUUCUUUCUUGGGACAGAACUUAGAGUAUGAUGUUAUGUAGCUGUGAUUUGUCCAUCGAUGUUGAUAGCUAGUACAAUUGAUUGAAUACAUCUCCCGCCUCGCCUCCUCUGACACAUACGAUUCUCAGCAUCUCACUCAUGUUCUCGUGGUGCUGCGGGCCAACAUAGGUGGAGCUGCGCAUGGGGUGAGCAAACCGGCCUUGCUCCUGAAUUCUGGCCGUGUUUGAGCUGGCCGACGAAGAUGGCAAAUUCUGGCGCUUUGGGUGCCUCACCUUCAGUUCCUUUGUUUCCCUUGCUGUUCUGGUGGCCGUGCGUUUCCUUGGCUUCUUCUGCAUGUGUUGAGCUUUCCUGAAUCCCUGACGAGUUAUUGUUUUUUCUAGAAUACUCAGUUCCUGGGUGGAUGCUUAGUAAGCAGAUAAGUGGACUUGGGCACUUGACUCGUUUCUUAAUAGGAAAAAUAGUAAUUAAAUUCUUAUAUUCAGGGUGAUCUGGCAUUGUUGGUAGUGCUUUUUUUAUUUAAAGAAAACGAUCAAUUCAGAUCAUUCAUAAUAUUAAUAGAGUGUUGGCCCUCCCAUCCUUCAAAUCCUAAAUUCGUUUCUUUUGGUUAUGUUGAUUAUUUGUUCCUUCUUUGGCUCUGCAUAAGGAAAUGUGGUGAAAAUAAG